rnacentral:rRNA from 1 species
AACUGCGAGUGAAGCGGGAAAAGCUCAAAUUUAAAAUCUGGCGGUCUUUGGCUGUCCGAGUUGUAGUCUGGAGAAGCGUUUUCCGCGCUGGACCGUGUACAAGUCCCUUGGAAUAGGGCGUCAUAGAGGGUGAGAAUCCCGUCUUUGACACGGACUACCAGUGCUUUGUGAUGCGCUCUCAAAGAGUCGAGUUGUUUGGGAAUGCAGCUCAAAAUGGGUGGUAAAUUCCAUCUAAAGCUAAAUAUUGGCGAGAGACCGAUAGCGAACAAGUACCGUGAGGGAAAGAUGAAAAGCACUUUGGAAAGAGAGUUAAACAGUACGUGAAAUUGCUAAAAGGGAAACGCUUGAAGUCAGUCGCGUUAUGCAGAACUCAGCCUGGCUUUUGCUUGGUGUAUUUUCUGUAUGACGGGCCAGCAUCAAUUUUGGCCGCUGGAAAAAGGCCUCAGAAAUGUGGCACCUUCGGGUGUGUUAUAGUCUGAGGUCAUAUACAGCGGCUGGGAUUGAGGUCUGCAGCACGCCUUUAUGGCUGGGGUUCGCCCACAUUCGUGCUUAGGAUGCUGGCGUAAUGGCUUUAAACGACCCGUCUUGAAACACGGACCAAGGAGUCUAACAUGCCUGCGAGUGUUUGGGUGGAAAACCCGAGCGCGCAAUGAAAGUGAAAGUUGAGAUCCCUGUCGUGGGGAGCAUCGACGCCCGGACCAGACCUUUUGUGACGGAUCUGCGGUAGAGCAUGUAUGUUGGGACCCGAAAGAUGGUGAACUAUGCCUGAAUAGGGUGAAGCCAGANGAAACUCUGGUGGAGGCUCGUAGCGAUUCUGACGUGCAAAUCGAUCGUCAAAUUUGGGUAUAGGGGCGAAAGACUAAUCGAACCAUCUAGUAGCUGGUUCCUGCCGA